rnacentral:rRNA from 1 species
AUUGAACGCUGGCGGCAGGCCUAACACAUGCAAGUCGAGCGGAUGAGAGGAGCUUGCUUCUCGAUUCAGCGGCGGACGGGUGAGUAAUGCCUAGGAAUCUGCCUGGUAGUGGGGGACAACGUUUCGAAAGGAACGCUAAUACCGCAUACGUCCUACGGGAGAAAGCAGGGGACCUUCGGACCUUGCGCUAUCAGAUGAGCCGAGGUCGGAUUAGCUAGUUGGUGAGGUAAUGGCUCACCAAGGCGACGAUCCGUAACUGGUCUGAGAGGAUGAUCAGUCACACUGGAACUGAGACACGGUCCAGACUCCUACGGGAGGCAGCAGCGGGGAAUAUUGGACAAUGGGCGAAAGCCUGAUCCAGCCAUGCCGCGUGUGUGAAGAAGGUCUUCGGAUUGUAAAGCACUUUAAGUUGGGAGGAAGGGUUGUAGAUUAAUACUCUGCAAUUUUGACGUUACCGACAGAAUAAGCACCGGCUAACUCUGUGCCAGCCGCCGCCGUAACAC